rnacentral:rRNA from 1 species
UACGAAGGGGGCUAGCGUUGUUCGGAAUUACUGGGCGUAAAGCGCACGUAGGCGGGUAUUUAAGUCAGGGGUGAAGUCCCAGAGCUCAACUCUGGAACUGCCUUUGAUACUGGGUACCUAGAGUAUGGAAGAGGUGAGUGGAAUUCCGAGUGUAGAGGUGAAAUUCGUAGAUAUUCGGAGGAACACCAGUGGCGAAGGCGGCUCACUGGUCCAUUACUGACGCUGAGGUGCGAAAGCGUGGGGAGCAAACAGG